UACAGAGGGUGCAAGCGUUAAUCGGAAUUACUGGGCGUAAAGCGUGCGCAGGCGGUUCGUUAAGUCAGAUGUGAAAGCCCCGGGCUCAACCUGGGAACUGCAUUUGAAACUGGCGGGCUUGAGUAUGGCAGAGGGGGGUGGAAUUCCGCGUGUAGCAGUGAAAUGCGUAGAGAUGCGGAGGAACACCGAUGGCGAAGGCAGCCCCCUGGGCCAAUACUGACGCUCAGGCACGAAAGCGUGGGGAGCAAACAGG
rnacentral:rRNA from 1 species